AGGAGGAGUCCCUCAGGGUCCCUCUCAGCAACGCCAUACUGUCCAUAUUCUCCACUAUAAUUGCACCAACACUGCACACCCAUCUCCCACGUGUAUAAACUAGUGCACAAGAUCCUACAGAGUAGAAUGUCUGGGUCAAGAUGAAUGGUUAUUUUUUUAUGGAUUUGCCAAGUUCACACCAGAAAAUCAGAGGGCUUAGCCAUAUUCCAUCAAAGUGCGAGAACACUCGGCCAACAUGCCCCAAAUAACCCAUACUGGCUUUGAAAAAUUCAUAAUUCUGAUUCUGCUUUGUACAGUUACG